GGAGGGCUGAGGCUCAGUGGUAGGGCAUCUGCUUUGCAUGCAGAAAUUCCCAGCUUCAAUCCCCAGCAUCUCCA